GAGGCCGCUCGUUCACGUCGCCUUUCUCCCCUCGUUUUCCUGUGCGCGUGGGGUGGGUGAAAACCCUAGAUCAGCCCGUGGUGACCUCCCCCAAUCCCUCGUCUCCUCUCCCCCGCUGCCAAUCAGCCGCCUCUCUCAGUUUCUCUCCCCAGUGCGCCCCUCCUCCAGCUCUCCAAAUCGAAGCGACCGCAACACGCGCACGGCAGGAGGAGGUGCCACGGGUUGAUGCAGCGGACAACGGCCGCAGGGGGCGACGGCAGCCGCUGUUGGUGGACGACGGCGGCCUCAGGCGUUAUGGAGGAGGGAGGCGGCGUAGUGGGUAAGCAGCGACACGAGAAGGGCGAGCAGACGGCGCCGGACGGGACGGCCGCCGUGGCGGACGAGAGGAGGCGCUGCAGGAGCGGGUCCCGAAGGAGGGCACCGGCGGCGCCAGUGGAGUCCUGCUGGUGGCUUCCUUUCGUCUCCCCACGGCGGCAAUCACCGAGCGCACGGAGGCGGGUGGCGGCACAGAGAGUGGUGGCGACGUGCGCGCAGCCUUGAGGAGCUCAGACGGUGAGGCUUGAUGAGGAGGGGAGGAGCAGCGCUGUUCGUCGAGUCCUGGCGGCCAUGGAAGAGAUGAAGGAGGCGUGGAGUUGUCACGGAUGGAGCGUCGGCCGUCGCCGUCGACCUGUUCAGGCAAGUCGAUCCCCUCCGUUCUCCUCUCGAUCUCUCUCUCGUUGUGCACUCAGAGUCUGUUGAUGAUGAUUUGUUGCUCCUUUUGCAGCUUUGACAUGGAUUUAAGUCUAGAUCUUGUUGAGGUGAAAAUAUCUUCCCAGCCAGCCUCAGCAACUCGUGCACCCUGCAGCAAGACUGCUAGAGCUGCUGGCGAGCUUGACGGCCAGGAUCCGGUGGCCGGAGGCGCUCGGCGAAGGGCGCCGCCUGUGGUGCACGGGGACAGGGAGGGCGCCUCCGGUGGUGCACGGGGCCAUGGCGGCAAUGCAGUGUUGACCAUGGACGUGGUGCGCACGCGGCAGGAGGAUCACAUGGCCAGGGUAGCUGAUCUGCUGUCUCUCCCAUGGCCGAGGGAAGCUGCUUCGGGAGAGAGAAAGUCUCAAAAUUUGUGGUGUGCCCUGGUUUGAACCGAGAUUGGUUUAUUUUGGGUACAGAGAAUGCUGCAUUGGCAAAGAGUCCGUUUUUUCGUUGCAGCAAGGGCGAGAAGGCUGAGUUCAUCAGCCUGAUAUGGCGCUACCUCUGUGGGGAGGCAGAGCAUAUGGAGUGUUGUAAUAUUUCCAUACCGCAAUGAUGAGAUGGUGAUUCUAGACGAAUCCUCUAACUGGUUGAUUGGGUCACACAUACAUGUCAAAGUUGUGGACACUGUAGUGCUUGGUGGAACUGGCUGCAAAAAUGUGUCCCCUAAUAUUUUUUGUGGCCUGCAAUGUGGAUUGAGGUAUAUGCCGAUGAGAUUGGACCAGGGGGAUGCUAUCAGGCAGGCGUCUAUUUCUUAGAUGUUCUGGCUUAUAAAAUUAUGUUACUGAAGAAUAUUGGUGAAGAACUAUGAAGAUGCACCCUAUGUUGGCUUAUUUGGUUUGCCUCGGAUAAACGAGCACCAUUCUCACCUUUGAGAGCUGCAGCAGCCGUCCACAGAUGACACUUAUUUCCGAAAACAGUUUUGGUGUUCCAUCUUCUCCAAGCAAAGCCACAUGCCUUGGACCUGCUCCGCUCUAAUUUGGUAAUAGACGGCGGUUGGCAAGAGAGCACGUUAGGAUGGGGCAAAGGAGGGGCACUGGCUUACCAAAGAUAUGGAUGGUCUGGAUUUAGAAUGCCAAAAUCCUAAUUUUCUGUUUAACCCAUUUGCCUUAUUUAUAUGUAUUCUUUAGCUUCCCAGUUAUAUUAUCUAUUUAGCUUAGAUGCCAUCAGAGUAUUUGUUAAUUAUGGUCAAAGUGUUAUUUGUUAAGCGCUCCACCGUCUUUCUGUCUUCCUCAAUACAUCAUUUUAAUUUGACCAAGCAGAAGCACGCAGAUAGUGCAACAUGCAUGCCUGCUCUGUAAUCUUCAGGAAAAGAGUAGAGCUAAACAUAUUAUUGCAAUAUGGGCUAUUUAUUA